rnacentral:rRNA from 1 species
CCUACGGGCUGCACCAGUAGGGAAUCUUCCGCAAUGGACGAAAGUCUGACGGAGCAACGCCGCGUGAGUGAUGAAGGCUUUCGGGUCGUAAAACUCUGUUGUUAGGGAAGAACAAGUGCUAGUUGAAUAAGCUGGCACCUUGACGGUUCCUAACCAGAAAGCCACGGCUAACUACGUGCCAGCAGCCGCGGUAAUACGUAGGUGGCAAGCGUUAUCCGGAAUUAUUGGGCGUAAAGCGCGCGCAGGUGGUUUCUUAAGUCUGAUGUGAAAGCCCACGGCUCAACCGUGGAGGGUCAUUGGAAACUGGGAGACUUGAGUGCAGAAGAGGAAAGUGGAAUUCCAUGUGUAGCGGUGAAAUGCGUAGAGAUAUGGAGGAACACCAGUGGCGAAGGCGACUUUCUGGUCUGUAACUGACACUGAGGCGCGAAAGCGUGGGGAGCAAACAGGAUUAGAUACCCCAGUAGUC